AUAUAUCAUGAUAAUCAAGCAUAAUAAUAGGUCUUAAACUCCAGAACAGAUCGAAACCAGGUAGGUAGCUCUAGAUAUUAAAAACAUGUGCUCAUAACUUUCCAGGUUGUCACAUGUCACCCAUCCCAAGUAAGGAGAAACUUUGGGGUGCAUUUAUUCUCAACUCAUCUACAAUGGAGCUCCAGUUUAUUGGUAGUGGAGAUAGCUAGUGUCCAUCCAUAUCCUUGAUCUUCAGCCUGAGCAUGGCAUUUCUGUUCCAAACAAAAUAGGAAAACACAAAGGAUCAGGGAUGAACACGAUUAAGCACAAGUGGAACAAGACAAAUUGACAAGGCAAGUAAUUGUGCAACAACAUUCGAAUGUUAUGUGUCACUCAAAAUGCAGAAUGAUAUAAUUGACCAAGCAAUGAUGACUAGAUGUUUCCAUACCCCAAACGUGGUGUAUUUUUCCUUCUACAGCGUGAAAAGUAAAGAAGCAAUAGUCAAUGAGGGUAAAAGUCACCAAGGGGUAGUUUUUAGACAGGAUUAUACACUUGACAUGUAGGGCGAAAAUAUCAUGGUGGUAUAUCUAAAUUGAAAAACAUUCAACAACACAAGUGUGCCGAUGUAAAUUAUGCUAUCCAGAACUGAUAGGUGUGUGAAUAAUGGCAUGCUUAAAUAGACAUACUUGUAAAUUUUGUUCCAUGACACUACCGUAUCCUUUGUCGCAAAAAUAAAAACUACAGUAUUCUAAAAAACUGCAAGUAUCUACAUCCAGAGUAACAUGAGUGAGAUUCACCAUUCAAGCUCAGCCUACUGGUGAUAAGAAUUCAUAUAAUGUGAUAUCAAUAUAUGAGAAAUGAAGAAGAUGCAAUACAUGAACUUCCAUUCUUCAACUGCAAAUCCCUCCCUCUAAUUUCCCGGAUAUAUAACCCAAGAAAACAACAACAGUCAUGACCACGUAGACAAAAAACCAACAUUAGUGUUUAUAAAUCAUGCUACAGGUACAGAAAACAUCUCAAUUGUUGCUUCCUAGUCUUCCUAAAAUGGCUCGAGGAAUCAAUUAUGUAUCUACCACCAUUCCAUGAAUGUACUACACCAUGACUAUUGAUGAACCAUUAACUAAAAUAAUAGAGGACUACUAGUUUGGCUAUGUCAUUCAUUCUGAACUACACCGGAUAUGCUGGUGUAUUGAUCUAAGCUACAAAUUUUAGCUUUAAAGCACACAACAAGACAAAGCAACUGAAUAGAAAAUAGAUUGAUAGAGUGUACAAUUCAAAAACAUUAUAACCUCAACAAGACAAUAGAUUAUAUGAAGGCCAAAAACAAACCUUGUAGGAUCAUUUUUGAGUGCAGGAAAUACGGGAGGCCAAAUCAUCAUAAGAGGAUGGAUUUCACAGAAAAAUUUAUCACCGUCUUCCUUCUCAUACACCUUAUGCAUUGUUCUGCGCUUGAUGUCCAAGAGGAAUGUGCAUCGACCCAUGUCCAAGAACACAAACUCGGCAUUGUCUCCUGCCUGGUUUAUCAGGAGAGAAGCAUUGCCAUCUGCCAUACUCAAAUCAGCACACAUCUCACGCAAAUAAAUGGUGUCCAUCAGCAACCAUGUGUACCCAUUAUGGAGCCAGAUGCGAAGUUGAAAAUUCUUGACAUGGAUAAGAUAUACACCAGCAACAUCAUCGACCUGUGACAAUAUGGUGUUUCUCUCACCAUACUCCAUCCCUUCUGGGAGCUCAAUUAUGGAGAAACUUGAGGCCGCCAAAUCCAAGACAAUAAUGUUGCUCCAGCCAGCUGGCACAUAGAUUUUAUUGUUGGACAACACAGAUUUAAGUACUGACCAUGGACGAGGGGGCUGCUGUAUGAUUAAGCUAUGAUUCAUGCGCCAUAUGCCAUGUUUCAAGAUAUAUAUGUAUACCCUAUGUUUUCCAUCCGUUGUUUGGUGCAUCAACACAUACAAGUAAGACAAGGCAUCACCCUCUUCUUUGGACAUGAUUCUAGAGUAAGCAGUACCGUCAAAUAAGUACGGAGAUUGGGGGCGUGGAAACGGUGGGAGGAUGUCCAUGCCUCUCUCAGGACACACCACGUUGUGCACUGCAAACGUGGUUCCAAUUUUAUCAUGCUGCCUAAUGAGGACGUUGCCAUUCCGGCAACCAAGGAUGUAGGUUGGUACCGACGGUACUCUCUGAUAGGUGCCCAAGCUAGAGGUUGCGCGACGGAUGACAGCAGUGAGUUCACGGGGCUGAGGCAAUAUCGGGAUGAAGUGCGGGGUGUUCUGACCUUUGUUGAUGUAGAAGCCAAGAAGGCGGGGCGGGUGGAUCUCACGAAAUCGAUGGAGGAAGGCGCGGUCGGAGGCAUGGGCGAGCCAACGUGUGCAUACGAGGGCGGAGUUGAGAAGGGUGGUGGUGAAGACGGUGCGGAGGAGGAUCUCACUGAGGAGGUCGUCGUCCUCGAGCACCUUGGAUAUCGCCGCCAUUGAUGUUGGGGAACGCUGGUCAAACUGGGGUUAGGGGAGAAGAAUUGUAGGUCGAUGCCGGGGACGGGUGGGGUGAAGUCGCCGACGAAAUUGCGACACUCAUCCUUUAAUUGCUUACGUUUCAGGCAAGUGAAGAAAUGGCUUUUGGCACCUACCCCAAAAAUAAAUGACCACCCAGCCUGGCCAAUUAAGCCAAAAAUGGUAACUGUCGCAAUGUACAGCAAUUGUGGUCCACCUGCUUUUAUCUUCCGUUUUAUUGUGGUGGCGUGUGUUGCUUGCCUUUGUGAUCCCCACACCGGUCCACUACGGAUAGGGAGGGGCAUGGCCGUCGCUUCGCACAAAGCAGCUACUGAGCGAACCUACCGAAAGGUUUUGUACGAGUUUUACUGAUUUUAUGUAUAAACAUUUUAGAAGGUUCUGGUAUGUUUUCGCUAUUUUUAAUGGUUUUUUGUUGUCUAAAAAAUGUCCAUAAACAUUCAGAAUCUCAAAAUUUUACUCUGAAUUUUUAAAAGUUCAUACUUACAAAAAAAUAUACUCUCUGCGUCUCAAAAUAAGUGACUCAACUUUGCACUAAAGUUAGUACAAAAUUUAGUCACUUAUAUUGGGACAGAGGGAACAUUUUUUGAUUUGUUUGCAAGAAAUAUUUGGAAUUUCAAAAUAUGUUCAUGUUUUAAAAACAAAAAAAUCUCAAAAAAUGUUCACCUUUCAAAAAAUGCUUGCGUCUUCCAAAAAAGAUCAUAAACAUUUUGAAAAGGUUCAAAAUUUUCAAAUAAAAAUAAAAAUCUAAAAAUAUGUUCACACUUUUGUAUUUUUUUGUGAUUUUUUAGUAGGCUGAAUGAAAAGAAAAUAAGCACUCCUGCCGAUCGAUAUUAAUUGUCGCCGACUUAGUAAAUCCACAGCAAUUAACAUGGAUUAGAGGGAGUUCUAAAAAAGUGUGUUGCUAUAGUGCCCACUCCUUCACUUUUUUACUUGUCUCUCUCCUACACUUAGACAAAAGUGCCAUGCAAGCGGGCUUAUAGCCCACUAUUAUACUUACUCUUAUAUUGUUAACUGCUAAUCUAAGACCGGUUUAAAGCGUGUUCUAGUCUAUCUGGAUUGAGCGAGGGUGGUGACGUGUCAUGCACUCAUAUCAUCAUCCUUCACUCAUAACUGGAUAGCUUCUUCUACUUGUUUUGGCUUUGCACUUAUCUUGACAUGAAUAAUCUACAUAGUACUGUCAACUCUGACUAUUCGAAAGACGCCAAUUAGAAAAAGUAUAUACAGCAAAAUUACACCGUAAAAUAAUGGUUAAUUCGAUAUACAAGCCACGUCCGCAAUGGCAUUUAGCAAAGUAUCAGAAUGCUGGCAAUGCAAUGGUUAAAAGUUUCUUUCCAAGUGAAUUUUUUGUGUCGUCUGAUCAAAAUUUCAAUCAACGGGGUCGAUCUUGUAUGGUUUGUGUGGUAGGGUCAAUUUUCUCAAGGAAAAUGGAUAAGGUUGAACAGUGGUAAAUCCACAUUUGUUUUCUCACCAAUAAUUCGACCGAUCAGAUCAUGGGCACCACCAUCAGUUGCAAGAAAAAUUGAUGCAAAAUCGGAAACACAAUUUCUUGUGUCACAACGAACAGCUGAGUUAAUUGUAAGAAACCACCACACCACAUUGAAGGCUAGAUUAGCAGAAAACACGAGUUUACAUUUUUUUUGGACAAACAACACCAUGUCUAGUGUAAUCGUUUGGCAAAUAACAUUGAUUGGCGCAUUAGGCUUAUUUAAGCGUGUUUAUGGCAGGUGGGUCCCGCAUUUCGCUCACAUGGCAUAACAGUUCACGGAGACAGGGUUGGUUGAAAUGUACCAACAAUAGUCCCUGGAAUUUUACAUAGACACCCUUUAAUAAAAAACAAAAGCGAUCAGCCCCCGUGCACUGUGCCCAUGUGCUGCCGGAAUCCCGCCCGUCGCCGCUAGGUGGUCGCAGCCGCUCCGCGUGCCAGUCGUUGCACUCCGCCGCGCCUGAAGGCAUGGAGACAAUGGCGACGAACCGCACGCCGCCGGGAGCAGCCGCCCUGCAGGACACCCUCCGCCACCACCGAGGCGGUCAACGCCGACAGUCGGGGCCCUCCCUCAGCUUCAAGUAGGCGACCGCCGUAUAUGGUAUGUCUAGCCGGUGGCUAGAAUCGAUUCAACAACUAGCUCCUGUGCUUGUACGUCCGCAUCCAACCGGGAAGAAUCAAUCAACGCACGCCUAGAUCCGCAGUAGACAAAGUACUUCUUGCAACACCGAGCACUGUGCAUGCGUGCUAGUUGUUGCUGCUGCUUGCGGGAGAUGCGGCGGCCACCUUGUUCGCGAGGCAGAGUAGGCGCCAUUGGGUUCUUGGUGGGCAGUGGCGGCGCUAGGAAAUGAAGGCUGGGUAUUCAUUUAAAUAUAUUUUUUGCUCUAAAUAUAGUAUAUGAACCAAACAACAUACCACUAGCAAUAUAGAUGAACAAAACAACACUAGCAUACUAGAUGGAUGCAGAAUGUCCAGGGCGGAGUUGUGGAGGUGAGCCGGGAGGGGCUGGGCGCCUACUUGGGCCGGGGAGCCGCCAACCGGGAGGUCGGAGGCGGACCGGCGCCUGGCGAAGCCGCACCGCCGCAGAGGUCGGCGCAGAGCGGCAGAGGGUCGGAGGGCGUCUGGGCAAGGGCGGGCCAGCAAGGGAGGGAGAGGGAGAGGGUGGCCGGAGGGGAGGGGACCGAGGGGUGAGGCGAGGGAGGAAGGAGAGAGCCGACCUGGCCGCCGGAGCCGGACCUGAUUCCAGGGUAGGCUGAAUCGGGGGAGCUAGCUAGGUUUGGCAAAAGAGGGUCGAUUGAAAUUGGGGCUUGGCCGCUCGAGGCAGUACGUAAUCGAGGGAGGGAGACGAGCCACUCGUGCGCCUAGCCACUUAGCCAGACGCUGACUCGGUCGUGUCUGCUCCCCUGCGUAGCUUUUUUGCCGUGGCCCUAUUCCUUCUAUCGUAUAUGUACUAAUUUUUUUACGCGAAAUACUUGGGUAUUCCAGGGAAGUCCCAGGAAGACCCCUAGCACCGCCACUUUUGGUGGGGAGACCGGGUUGAGAGCGGCAUGGCGGCGGAGACCACCAUGCACUGCACUGCGAGCAUGCUAGGAGGUUUUGAGGCGCCGGCCGCGGAUCCGGCAUGGGGCAUGGCGUUAGAAGGGCGGGGGCUAUCUGGUCUGCGGUGGGGGAAGGUUUGGGGACGGCUGGUGGCCCGGGGAGAAAGUUUGGCACAUUUUUGCAAAAGACCCGCCGUCUCUUGCGAACUGUUACGCCACCUAUGCAAAAAAUGGGGCCCACCUGUCAUAAACGCGCUCAAAUGAGACUAAUCCACCUGUCAUAUUGGUUCCUACAUAUUCCACGAAGGUCAUUUAUCGUUUGAACCACGUUGUCAAGGAUUCGUUUAAUCCCGUAUGCAAUUCCCUUUGUCUGGGAAUAUGUUACUUGCCUGAGAUUGGAUCGUCAGUAUCUCCAUAUAUACCUAGUUCUAUCUCGUUAUCGACAAGUCUCUUUACUUGUUCCGUAAUACAAGAUCUCGUGACUAACUCAUUAGCCACAUUGCUUGCAAGCUCUUUACGAUGUUGUAUUACCGAGAGGGCCCAAAGAUACCUCUCCUCACACGAAGUGACAAAUCCCAGUCUCGAUCCAUGCCAACCCAACAGACACCUUCGGAGAUACCUGUAGAGCAACUUUAUAAUCACCCAGUUAUGAAGUGACGUUUGAUAGCACACAAGGUAUUCCUCCGGUAUCCGGGAGUUGCAUGAUCUCAUGGUCUUAGGAAUAGAUAGAUGACAUGAAGAAAACUAUAGCAAUAAACUCAAGUGAUAUGAUCAAAUGUUAAGCUUACGGUUGGGUCUUGUCCAUCACAUCAUUCUCCUAAUAAUGUGAUCCCGUUAUCAAAUGACAACUCAUGUCUAUGGUUAGAAAACCUUAACCAUCUUUGAUCAACGAGCUAGUCUACUAGAGGCUCACUAGGGACAUAGUAUUUGUGUAUGUAUUCACACUUGUAUUUAAGUUUCCGGUCAAUACAAUUCUAACACGAAUAAUAACCUUUAUCAUUAAUAAGGAAAUAUGAUAAUAACCAAUUUAUUAUUGCCUCUAGGGCAUAUUUCCAACAGGUAUCUUCCCGGGACCGACCCUGGAGAAUCGGCCAGACAAAUGCGCAAGCGGGCAUCAAUGCACUGGACUAAUUUCCGCGGCCAAUUGCACUGCAAAACCACCAACAAACAACAAUCCAUGCAUCAGCUCGCUAGAGGACAUGUAAAAUCAGUGUGCAGGAAAUGAAACACAGGGAGAACGGAAAUUAUAUUGCCGUUUGGGAAGAGAAGAGCUCACAUCGCCGUUUGGGAAGAGAAGAGCUCACAUCAACCAAUUGACGUGAGGCUGGAAGAGGAAGCGUCUUUCGCCGUCGGGGACGGGCGAGGUCAGGCCGCCGCCGCCCCCUCCUUAAUUUCUUUCGGCGGGGCUGAACUGCGUUUUUUUGAGAAAGCUGAAGUAUUCGAGUGGAAGUCGGUGGCUGGUUUUGGGAAGCUUCUUGAAGCUUCCAGUCCUUUUUUCCUUGGCCUUUUUUGUUUGGUUUGUCUUAUUUUCCCCUUUUAUGUUUUUCAUAUUUCCAUUUUUUUUCUCAAAAUGCAUGAACUCCUUUCAAACUCAAGAACUUUUUUCAAAUUCGUGAGUGUUUUCCAAAUUUGUUUUUUUAAAUCGUGGACGUUUUCCAAAUCUGUGAUUUUUUUCACAUUUGUGAAGUUUUCGCCUAAAAUUCCUGAACAUUUUUUAAUUUUAUUUUUCCUUAAAUCAUGGACCUUUUCCAAAUUCAUGAAUUUUUUUGUCCGUGACCUUUUUCAAACUCGUGAACUUUUAAAAAUCCACAAACUUAAAAAAAAAUCAGUGAUUCUUUUCCCAAAUUCGUGAAUUUUUCUCAAAUCUAUAAACCUUUUAUUAAACUAUUUUUUAUGAAACCUUGUCAGAGGGCGGGGAGCUCCCACGUUGCAUACUGAAGAAGAGAGUUGGUCCAAUUAAUUAAGGUACCCGACCCAAAAAUCAUAAAAAACUAACAAAAACCACGCACGCAACUGUUGAUUCAGCAUCAUCUACAGACUUCGUAUGGAAUGCCAUGUUUCAUGGGAGAAGCAGAUAUUGAGAAAUUUGCAGGUGCUUCACAAUGUAUAUUGCCAGAAGAAAGCUAUGAGCUUCAGAUUAGGCACCGAGAGUAUAUAGCAGUUGCGGCUUGGAUCCUGAGUAGAGAUGUGAAGGAUAGGGAGCAGGUCCCGAUGAAGGUUGAGAGUGAUGUACAACAAAUUGCAGCAGAUUCAUGGGCUCCAUUAUUGAGCAGGUUAACUCAAUCAGGUUUGCAGACAUCUGCAUAGCACCUACCUAAAGUGGCAGCAUGCAUAUGAUUUGGGGAAACAACAAUUUGGGGCAAACAACAGAGUUGAUGUUGUCAUCUUCUCUCUCUUUCUCUCUCUCUCCAGUCUUCCCCCAUUUCUUCUUUCCAGAUACAACAGAGUAGAUAGCAAGCAUAAAUCAUGAUACAAGACUAGGGCUAUCAAAGGUAAUAACAAGGUGAAGAAAAUCAUGCAAAAGAUAUAUCAUGAUAAUCAAGCAUAAUAAUAGGUAUUAAACUCCAGAAAGGAUCGAAACCAGGUAGGUAGCUCUAGAUAUUAAAAACAGGUGCUCAUAACUUUUCAGGUUGCACAUGUCACCCAUCACAACUAAGGAGAAACUUUGGGGUGCAUUUAUUCUCAACUCAUCUACGAUGGAGCUCCAGUUUAUUGGUAGUAGAGAUAGCUAGUGUCCAUCUAUAUCCUUGAUCUUUAGCCUGAGCAUGGCAUUUCUGUUCCAAACAAAAUAGGAAAACACAAAGGAUCAGGGAUGAAGAUGAUUAAGCACAAGUGGAACAAGACAAAUUGGCAAGUAAUUUUGCAACAACAUUCAAAUGUUAUGUGUCACUCAAAAUGCAUAAUGAUAUAAUUGACCAAGCAAUGAUGACUAGAUGCUUCCAUACCCCAAACAUGUUGUAUUUUUCCUUCUACAGCGUGAAAAGUAAAGAAAACAAUAGUCAAUGAGGGUAUAAGUCACCAAGGGGGAGUUUUUAGACUGGAUUAUACACUUGACAUGUAGGGCGAAAAUAUCAUGGUGGUAUAUCUAAAUUGAAAAACAUUCAAUAACACAAGUGUGCCGAUGUAAAUUAUGCUAUCCAGAACUGAUAGGUGUGGGAAUAAUGGCAUGCUUAAAUAGACAUACAUGGAAAUUUUAUUCCAUGACACUACCGUAUCCUUUCUCGCAAAAAGAAUAACGACAUUAUUCUAAAAAAACUGCAAGUAUGUACAUCCAAAGUAACAUGACUGAGGUUCACCAUUCAAGGUCAGCUUACUGGUGAUAAGAAUUCAUAUAAUGUGAUAUCAAUAUAUGAGAAAUGAAGAAGAUGCAAUACAUGAACUUCCAUUCUUCAACUGCUAAUCCCUCUCUCUAAUUUCCCGGAUAUAUAACCCAAGACAACAACAACAGUCAUGACCACAUAGAAAAAAAACAACUGUAGCGAAAUCAUGCUACAGGUACAUAAAACAUCUCAAUUGUUGCUUACUAGUCUUCCUAAAAUGGCCCGAGGAAUCAAUUAUGUACCUACCACCAUUCCAUGAAUGUACUACACCAUGACUGUUGAUGAACCAUUAAUUAAAAUAAUAGAGGACUAAUAGUUUGGCAAUGCCAUUCAUCCUUAACUACACUGGAUAUGUUGGUGUAUUGAUCUAAGCUACAGAUUUUAGCUUUAAAGCACACAACAAGACAAAGCAACUGAAUAGAAAAUAGAUUGAUAGAGUGAACAAUUCAAAAACAUUAUAACCUCAACAAGACAAUAGAUUAUAUGAAGGCCAAAAAACAAACCUUGUAGGAUCAUCCUUGAGUGCAGGAAAUACGGGAGGCCAAAUCAUCAUAAGAGGAUGGAUUUCACAGAAAAAUUUAUCACCGUCUUCCUUCUCAUACACCUUAUGCAUUGUUCUGCGCUUGAUGUCCAAGAGGAAUGUGCAUUGACCCCUGUCCAAGAACACAAACUCGGCAUUGUCUCCUGCCUGGUUUAUCAGGAGAGAAGCAUUGUCAUCUGCCAUACUCAAAUCAGCACACAUCUCACGCAAAUAAAUGGUGUCCAUCAGCAACCAUGUGUACCCAUUGUGGAGCCAGAUGCGAAGUUGAAACUUCUUGACAUGGAUAAGAUAUACACCAGCAACAUCAUCAGCCUGUGACAAUAUGGUGUUUCUCUCACCAUACUCCAUCCCUUCUGGGAGCUCAAUUAUGGAGAAACUCGAGGCCGCCAAAUCCAAGACAAUAAUGUUGCUCCAGCCAGCUGGCACGUAGAUUUUAUUGUUGGACAACACAGAUUUAAGUACUGACCAUGGACGAGGGGGCUGCUGUAUGAUCAAGCUAUGAUUCAUGCGCCAUAUGCCAUGUUUCAAGAUAUAUAUGUAUACCCUAUGUUUUCCAUCCGUUGUUUGGUGCAUCAACACAUACAAGUAAGACAAGGCAUUGCCCUCUUCUUUGGACAUGAUUCUAGAGUAAGCAGUACCGUCAAAUAAGUACGGAGAUUGGGGGCGUGGAAAUGGUGGGAGGAUGUCCAUGCCUCUCUCAGGACACACCACGUUUUGCACUGCAAACGUGGUUCCAAUUUUAUCAUGCUGCCUAAUGAGGACGUUGCUAUUCCGGCAACCAAGGAUGUAGGUUGGUACCGACGGUACUCUCUGAUAGGAGCCCAAGCUAGAGGUUGAGCGACGGAUGACAGCAGUGAGUUCACGGGGCUGAGGCAAUAUUGGGAUGAAGUGCGGGGUGUUCUGACCUUUGUUGAUGUAGAAGCCAAGAAGGCGGGGCGGGUGGAUCUCACGAAAUCGAUGGAGGAAGGCGCGGUUGGAGGCAUGGGCGAGCCAACGUGUGCAUACGAGGGCGGAGUUGAGAAGGGUGGUGGUGAAGAUGGUGCGGAUGAGGAUCUCACUGAGGAGGUCGUCGUCCUCGAGCACCUUGGAUAUCGCCGCCAUUGAUGUUGGGGAACGCUGGUCAAACUGGGGUUAGGGGAGAAGAAUUGUAGGUCGAUGCUGGGGACGGGUGAGGCGAAAUCGCUGACGAAAUUGUGACACUCAUUCUUUAAUUGCUUACGUUUCAGGCAAGUGAAGAAACGGCUUUUGGCACCUACCCCAAAAAUAAUGACCACCCAGCCUGGCCAAUUAAGCCAAAAAUGGUAGCUGUCGCAGCAACUGUGGGCCACCUGCUUUUAUCUUCCGUUUUAUUGCGGUGGCGUGUGUUGCUUGCCUUUGUGAUCCCCACAUCGGUCCACUACGGUCAUCAUUCAGGUGCUGACCCAUUCCAAGCUGCUCAUGACAUGACCGUGCUCCCCUUCAAACUAAAAGAGCACACUUUGUUAUGAUAUUUUUAUGUAUUAGCGGUGGCCAUGUACAAUUUGCAAAGUAAAACAAAUGACCAUGGAAGUAUUAAAUUACUUAUGUGUUUUAUUUUAUAAUGCAAAAUUUUAUUGUUUCUUACUGGGAAGUUUAUAUUUUCUGAGUAGGAAGUGCGGUCACCUAAGUGAAAAGAUAUUUGUAUUUGAGUAAAAAAAUGUGUGGGUUUGGUAGAAAGUUUAUAGUCCCCGAUUAGAAAGUCUAUAUUAAUUGCUGAAUAGAAUAUACUAUGUAAGCCCGUUUGUUUCCGAGUAGAAAGUUUAUCAUUCAAGUAGAAAUUUUGUAAUUAAAAAAUAUGGAAUUUCUAUAUUGCCUGGUAAAAAGGUAUCAUCUCAGUCAAAACUUUAAUGUUUUUGUAUAUAAUGUUUUUCUAAUACGUUUUGAAAGUUUGUGUUUAUAAGUAGAAAGUCUAUAUUGCAUGGCAGGAAGGUAUUAUCUACUUCAAAUGCUCAUGGUCUUUUAGUUAAAUAAAAGUUUUUCCAACAUAAACAUAAAGUUUGUGCUUCUGAAGUAGAAAGUCCAACCAAUAGAGCUCAACAUUAUGUGUAAACUUUCAUCCAACAAACACCAAUAGAGCUCAACACUGAAUAGCAGUUCGGAAGCUUGCAUUUAGAAAACUUUGUCUUGUACAAACUCUAGAUUAGAGCAGUGGAGCACUACCCGGUCUAAAUAAAUUUGAAUCAACAAUGCUUUCAUGUUCAGUGAUAACACAAGAUCAAAAUUGCAUUCAAAUUUUUUGUCUCCAUAUGACACGCUUCCACAACAAAACAGCAAAAUUCAGGUGGAAGGAGGCACGGUAGAAUUAAGCUUCAAAGGAGCAACAACCCAUUCCCCCACCGGUGUCGCUGGUGCCCGUCUCAUCGCCCACAGAGUCCUGCUGCCCCACCGCAUAGUCGGCGUCGUCGGGGAGGCUGCCUUGGCUGACAUCCUUGCCUACCCCAUGAGCAGCGGGCAAAGUCACCCACGCAGUCCUGCGUGGUGGACGCCAACCUCGGCGCCGUAGAUGGUCCCUUGUUCUUCUUGCUCCAAUACUCUGUAAUUUCUUUAUAAUGGAUCUCUGGUGAACUUAAAUUUUCCUUUAGGCUGCAACAUUCAUUCAGCUAAGGAACUGAAUAUGAACAGCUAACCAAAAGCUAGCGCAAUUGUCUGCACUAGAAUUUGGACGACAUCAAAUACAGACCAAUAUCUUAGAAGGGUGAGCAGCGCCAUGGUUGGGCGGCUGCCAUCGCACUGGGUUGGGAUGGGCAGCCCCAAGGCCGUCGGCUCGUCGUCGCGUCAGAGCAGCCCCGAGGGCGCUAGGUGAUCGUUGCCUGUGGCAGCGCUGAGGCCGCCGGCUCGCCGUUGUAGCAGGAUCACCGUUGCGUGCUGCAGCACCCGCCAUUGCGUGGGGGCUCACCGGGUCGCCGUCGCAUAGGUCAGAUGAGGCGGCGGCGAGAUUUGGGUUAGAACUUGGAAGGAUAGGAACAGGGUACAAUAACUUGACAGGGAGUUACCUAAUUACUGAGAGAGGGGGUUUUGUGAAAAAUGGAGUUAAGUGGCUGGUUAGUACUCCCGCCAUUGAUAUCUGCCGCUCGCUAUUGAUCCAAGGUCCCACGAUGGAAGUUUCCAGAUUUGCACUGAAUUCCAGUUUUCACUUGAUACUUCGCCCAGUUUUAAUGUCUCUAAAUUCAUUGAGAGGGAGUGAUCUUACAUGCCCAUAGAGGGGCUGAUAUAGCCUAGGGGUUCUUUGACAUAAUUUUUGAUUGAAGAAAAAAGAUUUUUGAUAGAUGACCAAGGCUACCGUUGAAGUAAGGAGUUGGGAGGGUAGAACUAGGUAAUUGUUCGUCAUUUGGCCCAUGCGCUCCUAAUUGGGCUAGGAGGUGGUUUAUCCCAUUUGGAGAGAGAUGAGAUCCCCUCCACCAUACAUGGGCCUUCUUUAAUUCUUGGACUUGGGCUUCUUUGAUCCAGUGUUUCAUCUUUGUCUUAUUCUCUUAUAUGCGGUCUCCUUCCUUUGAUUUGUUUAUCACUAGUAAGUCUGCACGUGCAACGCACGUUAUAAUCUUCGCAAGAAAAUUUCUCAUUACCAUCUUAAUAUAUAUGAUUUCUGAUCUUCCUUAUAUACUUCCAAUUUUGAACAAAUGAUGGGCAGGAAUUAUGUUUCAAAAACAAUUUGUAACACAGGACAAUACAAUGUGAUAAUCACGCUUCAGUCGUAAGGGGUGAAGAAUGAUUACCAGUAUAUCUACAUCUCAGGACUAAUAAGAAACAACGAAAAUGUAGUCAAGAUGGUCAACAAGCUAACCUUCUUUUCCAUUGAAUGUUUGAUAUAAUCACAUCAAUGCGAACCAAUGACUUUGAGCUUUUCAAAUGGACGCUUCUCCCUUAGUUCUUUAUGUUAAUUCAAUACUUGAAUUGUUGCCUUUGCUACCUGCACAUAAGAGCUGUUUAGAUACCGAAGACUGGGGGGAGUAACAUCCUUCUCAAUAUGAUUUUUCCAUACUUCAUACUUGUCAUAACUUUGAUAUAUAAUAAUUGACAGCUUUGCGAAUCUGAGUUUGAUGUUGAAACAAACUUAAAAUUAGCAAGACACACUGGUGUUCAUUUGAAAAGGUUCAUACUUUUUUCCUGGAAAACUUAUUUUCAUAAUAUCAUUUGAUGUCCAUCUCAUUUUUGAGACGGCAGAUAGGCCCCAUUGCUACAUAGUAGUUUAAAAAGGUUCAAGAGCAAUUAUGCAAGGGAGGGUGCAUUAAGCAGAACACCUCCAUUUGUUAUGCUUCCUUUGUCUUCCAAGCUACAUUUGCAUACAUAGCACCGAUACGGCUUCUGUCAACCGAAAACAACAUAAUGUUCAGCCGUGUUGCAGAGCAGACCUACACAAACAUCCUGAUGGCCGCAAGAAAAAUGAAAACUGGCCUCCAUGGUUGAUAUUUAUGCAACCAGAAAAUCAUCUGAUCUUGUCAGACACAUUAGAGUAUUGUAAAAAAAGUGCAUGAAAGGACUCAUCAUAUAUGCUUGAACUAAAAGAAAGAAAGUGCAUAAACACAUUGACAGAAAAAUACUAAUCCACCGAACAAGGGACAAGGGAGGAAUGAGGUUGACAGAGGAUCGCUCACCAUUUGUUUCCUGGUAGAUCCAUGCACACAUAAGAAAAGAAAAAGGAAUGAAUUUCACAGAAAAAAGAAAUAAAAGAAAUAAGAGAAUCUAGAAUAGUUGGAACGAAGAAAAAGUAUAUAUCUGAACUUGGUUAUGUGGCAACACCACUAAACACCAAAUUAUCAAAGAAAAAAAAAUGAUAUUGUGAUCUAUACCUCAAACACCUUGAACUUAUCAGUCAUGACACACACUGCCUGUUCCCUGUUGGGUCUUCUGCUUCAAUAAGAUUGGUGACUAAUCCUAUUGGGUCUUCCACAUACGUCUGUCUGCUCUCUCAAUACUCUCUAGCUGCAAAGCCUCGUGCGUAUGAGGUAUGAGAUGAUCAGCACUUGCUAAUAUGACGGCAGCGAAUUAGAUGAUCAAGAUCGACACACCUGUGAUCAGCACUUCCUAAUAAGUUAAGCUAGUAGUACUAAAUCAAUAUCUAAGUCAGAAAUAUAGUCAAGCCACUGUACGCAUGCGGUCGUGGGACGGCAACCUUGGUCUUCGAUGAUGGCUCCGAUGAGAGGGCGAGUGGAGUCUGCUCAUUGGCCUCCGUGAGGACGCCGUUGUGGGGUUGUAGACCUCUCAGUCAGCCGCUGGAAGCCUUCUCAGAGCGAGGUGAUGUCCCGCAGAUCAAAGCAGUUACCGCCCCCGUAGGCUCGCGUUGGCGCCGUGCGCCGCCUCUCGCCAGAGACUGUCGCCACCGGAGGUUCACCGUCGAGGCCGCCGGCUGCGCCCCUGCCCUUCCUCAUCUCCCUUCCUUCUGUUCUACCGAGAGGGCCCAAAGAUAUCUCUCCUCACACGAAGUGAAAAAUCCCAGUCUCGAUCCAUGCCAACCCAACAGACACCUUCGGAGAUACCUGUAGAGCAUCUUUGUAAUCACCCAGUUAUGAAGUGACGUUUGAUAGCACACAAGGUAUUCCUCCGAUAUCCGGGAGUUGCAUGAUCUCAUGGUCUUUGGAAUAGAUAGUUGACAUCAAGAAAGCUAUAGCAAUAAACUCAAGUGAUACGAUCAAAUGUUAAGCUUACGGUUGAGUCUUGUCCAUCACAUCAUUCUUCUAAUGAUGUGAUCCCGUUAUCAAAUGACAACUCAUGUCUAUGGUUAGGAAACCUUAACCAUCUUUGAUCAACGAGCUAGUCUACUAGAGGCCCACUAGGGACAUAUUAUUUGUGUAUGUAUUCACACUUGUAUUUAAGUUUCCGGUCAAUACAAUUCUAACAUGAAUAAUAACCUUUAUCAUUAAUAAGGAAAUAUGGUAAUAACCAAUUUAUUAUUGCCUCUAGGGCAUAUUUCCAACAGGUAUCUUCCCGGGAUCGACCCUGGAGAAUCGGCCAGACAAAUGCGCAAGCGGGCAUCAAUGCAAUGGACUAACUUUCGCGGCCAAUUGCGCUGCAAAACUACCAACAAACAACAAUCCAUGCAUCAGCUCGCUAGAGGACAUGUAAAAUCAGUGUGCAGGAAAUGAAACACAGGGAGAACGGAAAUUAUCUUGCCGUUUGGGAAGAGAAGAGCUCACAUCAACCAAUUGACGUGAGGCUGGAAGAGGAAGCGUCUUUCGCCGUCGGGGACGGGCGAGGUCAGGCCGCCGCCGCCCCCUCCUUAAUUUCUUUCGGCGGGGCUGAACUGCGUUUUUUUAGAGAAAGCUGAAGUAUUCAAGUGGAAGUCGGUGGCUGGUUUUGGGAAGCUUCUUGAAGCUUCCAGUCCGUUUUUCCUUGGCCUUUUUUGUUUGGUUUUUUCUUAUUUCCCCUUUUAUGUUUUUCAUAUUUCCAUUUUUUUCUCAAAAUGCAUGAACUCCUUUCAAACUCAAGAACUUUUUCAAAUUCGUGAAUGUUUUCCAAAUUUGUUUUUUAAAUCGUGGACGUUUUCCAAAUCUAUGAUUUUUUUCACAUUUGUGAAGUUUUCGCCUAAAAUUCCGGAACAUUUUUUAAUUUUAUUUUUCCGUAAAUCGUGGACCUUUUCCAAAUUCAUGAAUUUUUUUGUCCGUGACCUUUUCAAACUCGUGAACUUUUAAAAAUCCACAAACUUAAAAAAAAUCAGUGAUUCUUUUCCCAAAUUCAUGAAUUUUUCUCAAAUCUAUAAACCUUUUAUUAAACUAUUUUUUAUGAAACCUUGUCAGAGGGCGGGGAGCUCCCACGUUGCAUAUUGAAGAAGAGAGUUGGUCCAAUUAAUUAAGGUACCCGACCCAAAAAUCAUACAAAACUAACAAAAACCACGCACGCAACUGUUGAUUCAGCAUCAUCUCCAAACUUCGUAUGGAAUGCCAUGUUUCAUGGGAGAAGCAGAUAUUGAGAAAUUUACAGGUGCUUCACAAUGUAUAUUGCCAGAAGAAAGCUAUGAGCUUCAGAUUAGGCACCGAGAUUAUUGCCAAAAGGAACCAUAGGAGGUUUAAAGGAAAGUGGAGACGCAAUGAGAAUCAGAAUAGCAAUGGAGUACAAAAGGGCAAGAAUCAUUUUAAGAAAAAUGAUAAGGGUAGCAACUCUCAAGCUUGCUAUAGAUGUGGUUGUACUACUCAUCAUGCAAGGAAGUGUACUAAUUCAAAGCAUUUGGUGACGUUGUAUCAGCAAUCAAUUGGCAAGGGCAAGAAGGCUCAAGGGAACCAGCACGAAGCUCACUUCACUGGUCCAAUGAUUGAAAGUUCUCAAGGCGUUCAUCAGAACGAAGUUCAUGACAACAUGGAGAACCAAGAUCAGGCUCAGCAAAAGGAAGGACCACCACUUACUAUUGAUGACAUGGUGGAUUUCACUUCUACUAAUGACAUAUAUGGAGAUAUACUUUGAUCUUCCAAUAAUGUCAUAAGUAUUGUGAUAUAUCCUUAGUUAUAUUGUGUGCUGUAAAAUAAUUAUGUCCUCGGACAUAUGGUAUUAUAACAAUUAUGUCCUUAAACAUAAUGUAUUAUAAUAUGUGGCAGACAUACAUAGUAUGUAAUGUAUGUGUUAAUUCUAUAUGAGAUUGAAUAAAUAAUGAAUUUUAUUCUUUUAAUCUAUAGAAAACUUCGAGAAACAAUCCAAUGGAGGAGGAAAUUUGCUUAGUGGACAGCGUGCCUCUAACACAAUUCUACGGGAAGUUAAAUACUUUCGAAGUCUCAGAAAGAGUAAGGGAAGUGUUAUGUCAAUUGGUGGUCAUGACACGCUAAUUGUUGGUUCUGGUCAAGCCACAUUUACACUCCCGAAUGGUACAAAACUUGAAAUCCAGGAGGCUUUAUUGUAUCCGGAUUCAACUCGUACCCUGUUGAGUUUUAAGGAUAUCUGCAUGAAUGGCUACCACAUUGAAACUCAUGAAGACAAUGCGGUUGAAAGCCUGCUGAUAACUCAGCAGAAGGGAUCCGACAAGGAAACCCUUGAGAGACUACCUGCUCUAUCUUCUGGACUGUAUUACACAUACUUCAAGCCAGAGCAACAUUUGGCAUACAAAAUAAUUUUUCAGAAUCUUGACAAGUUCAAGAUAUGGCAUGAUCGCCCAGGUCAUCCUGCUGUGGGGAUGAUGAGAAAAUUUAUUGAUGGUUCAACUGGACACAACAUAACGGUUGCUAAUUUCCCCAAAUCCUUGGAUUUUGUAUGCACUGCAUGUGCAACUGGGAAAUUAUCACAAGACCUUCAUAUCCGAAGAUCAAGAAUGAACCACUUAAUUUUCUUGAACGCAUUCAAGGAGAUAUAUGUGGUCCAAUUCAACCGUUAUUGGGACCAUUUAGAUAUUUUAUGGUGCUCAUAGAUGCAUCAACAAGAUGGUCCAAUGUGUGUCUAUUAUCAACAAGGAACCAUGCUUUGCAAAGCUGAUCACUCAAAUCAUUAAACUGAGGGCAAAUCAUCCUGAACACAGGAUAAAAUCCAUCAGAAUGGAUAAUGCUGCUGAAUUUAGUUCACGAGCAUUCAAUGAUUAUUGCCUAGCUUUGGGCAUAACCCUGGAGCAUUAUGUACCAUAUGUACACACACAAAAUGGUCUUGUGGAAUCACUUAUCAAGAGGAUCAAGUUGAUAGCAGGACCACUCCUACAGAACUGUAAUCUUCCAACAUCUUGUUGGGGACACGCGGUAUUGCAUGUUGCGGAGUUGAUACAAAUUUGACCAACUGCAUAUCAUAUGGCCUCCUCGUUGCAGUUAGUACGUGGAAAUCAACCAAUUAUUUCCCAUCUUCGAAGAUUCGGUUGCGCUGUGUACGUACCGAUAUCACCACCUCAACGUACAUCGAUGGGUCCACAUAGAAAAAUGGGGAUCUAUGUGCGGUACAAUUCUCCGUCGAUUAUAAAGUACCUGGAACCUCUAAAAGGGGACCUAUUUACAGCCCGAUACGCUGAUUGUAUCUUCGAUGAGGACAAUUUUCCGGCAUUAGGGGGAGAAAAGAACCACAAAGAAUGCCGGGAAAUAGAUUGGAAUGUCAAAGGCAUUCAGUUCUUAGAUCCACGUAUGAAUGAAUCUGAACUGGAAGUUCAGAAGAUUAUUAAUUUGCAAAAUAUUGCAAAUAAUCUGCCAGAUGCAUUUACUGAUUAUAAAGGUGUCACUAAAUCCCAUGUUCCCGCUAUGAAUGUUCCAGAGAGAGUUGAGAUAUCUCAUAAGACCACUCAACUGCCCAAGAGGGGGAGAAAAUUGGAUAAAAAGGACAAGGCUUCUCAGAAGCGUCCGCGGGAAGUGAGGAUCCCUCAAAUAGUAAAUGCAGGUCAACCGCGAGUUGAUAUUCAACAUAGUGUUGAAAGACACCUUAAGGAUGUUAUGCAUCCAGAACCUAGCACAACUAUGCACACAAAUAUUGGUGUUGGGUCAUCGGUACACCUUGACUCAAUUGUUGUGGGAAAUCACGAUGAGUCAUAAGGUAUUGAUGAGAUUUCCAUCAACUAUGUUGAAUCAGGAGAAUCAUUCAGCAGAAAGACUACAAUUGUCGACAUAUUUUUCGCCUCAAAGAUUGCAGAUGACCUGGCAUUGGAUCAUGAACCUAAGUCCAUGGCAGAGUGUAUGAAACGCUCAGACUGGUCCAACUGGAAGGUUGUAAUAGAGGACGAAUUGCACUCGCUUGCCAAGAGAGGGGUAUUUACUGCAGUAAUACAUACUCCUCCUAAUGUUUUCCCCGUGGGGGCAAUAUGGGUUUUUGUUCGUAAAAGGAACGAAAACAAUGAGGUGGUGAGAUAUAAAGCAAGGCUUGUAGCACAAGGGUUUACACAAAGACCUGGCAUCGAUUAUGAUGAAACAUAUUCUCCUGUGAUGAGUGGAAUCACGUACCGAUACUUGAUAUCACUGGCAGUGCAAAUGAAUUUGUAUAACCAAUUGAUGGAUGUGGUGACAACAUAUUUAUAUGGGCCACUUAAGACAGAUAUCUAUAUGAAAGUUCCCGAGGGACUGAAGAUUCCGGAUCCGAAAGCUAAUCGCAACAUGUAUUGCAUAAACCUACUGAAGUCGUUAUACGGCUUGAGACAAUGUGGUAUAUUUAAAUCAAGAGAGAACCAUGGUGGGGUAUUGCGAUGCUGGAUACUUGUCAGAUCCCCAUGAUGCCAAAUCGCAGACUGGUUUUGUCUUCUUACAUGGAGGUACAUCCUUCUCUGGAAGUCAACAAAGAAAACCUUAGUGGCAACGUCCACCAAUCAUUCUGAGAUAAUUGCUUUGUUCGAAGCAUCACGUGAAUGUGUAUGGCUUCGCAGAAUGAUGAACUUUGUCCAAAGUUCAAGUGGGAUUGGUUCCUUGAAAUCACCCACCAUUAUCUAUGAAGAUAAUGAUGCUUGUAUUGCAUAAAUGCAAACGGGUUAUAUUAAGAGCAAUGUUACAAAGCAAAUUUCUCCUAAAUUAUUUUAUCCCCAUGAUCUGCAAGAAAAGGGGGAGAUAAGUACUUUGCAAACAAAGUCAUGCGAUAAUCUCGCUGAUCUGUUUACUAAGUCCUUACCAAGUUCUUUGUUCCAUAAAUAUGUAACUGGAAUUGGUAUGAGACGACUUCGAGACUUGCAAAAUUCAGGGGGAGAAAUUUCCUAGAUAUAACCUGUUAAGAUCAUGAGAUCUUUAAUAUUGCACUCUUUUCCUUUGUGAGUUUUCCAAAUGGUUUCUCAUGUAAGGUUUUUAAUGAGGCAAUAUCAAUGCAAGCAUGGACGAUGUAUGCCAUUUUCUCCUUAUUUUCCCACAAGGUUUUUCAAAGGAGUUUUUCAUGGCAUGCUGUAUAUUUUCUUCUCAUUUUUUUCCACAGUGUUUUGGAGAAGAGUGUUUCAAGGAUGAUCAGAGAAUAUUCCAAGGGUGAUCAGUCUCAAAGACAAGCGAGGAUUAGGGGGAGUGUUAGGAUUAAUUUAGUUAUGUAAUUAAGGAUAAUCCUCCCUUGUACAACCGUUCGUGCGGAUUGCUGCCAACCGACACGGCGGUUCUCCCACGCCCCCACGAUGGACGCGUCCUUUCAAUCGCGUCUGUUCUGCUUGUAUAUAAACUAUGAUCCUUAAUGGAAUAGUAAUAGUUCGAUCAAUUCGUUCUUUCACAGACACAACGCACUAUGAAGGUAGUAACAUACUAGUCUAAGUUACUCCGCACACUAGCCUAAGUAGGGCCAAAGUCAUUACUACAAUAUAAUUACUAUGCAUUAAUUAGAUCCAUUGUCCUGACCUAACUAGAGUAGAUCAUCAUGGAAAACUUAGAAGUCAAUUAAUGCCCAUAAACUCCGCCUUUGCUGGCCAAAAGCUAGCGUUACAAGUGUUCUCUUGCUAUAUAUUGAACCGGAACCAAAACCCAUUCAUCGGCCUCCAUCUUCCUACUAAAAUAAAAAAUCAAGGAUGGCACUCCAGCCUCUCUCCUGGUGUACGUGCUUCGUCAUCAUUCUCAUUGUGGCUUCUACUUCCUUUGCCGUCGACUAUGACUGUAGUAGAUCAUUGAGUGUGGUUACUUCACACUGCAAGGAAGAGCUCACAUGGGUUAUAUCUUCCGGAGACAAGACCCUUAUUGGUCUUGAAUGUUGCCAGGAACUUGGCUGCGUGAAUGAACCAACAUGUUUCCCUCUGGUCCAAAGAAUCUGUAAGGAUCAUGAAUGUCGACGGCCAGCUUUCGUGCCAUCGAUGUCUACAUAAAAACCUAAGUAGAUCUGUACCUCCUUUACAUGUCGUGAGGUUACUAGAUUCGAAUAAUAUAUAUGUUUGUGUGUGUUGUUGCACUUUUUCUGGAAAAUGAAUGCAAAACUUUCUAGGCUAUGCAUCUGUGCAUCGUAGAAUAAUUCCCCUUUCAAAUUUCUUUGUGGUCACUGGUUGAAGUAAAUCUCGCCCUAUCCAACAGGGACUAAUCAUUUUGUUUCUCUUCCCAUCUAUCAUGCUAACUCCCUAACUUUGUGCCUGCCUCCUACCCGCUCAUCUAGCGGCCGGGCACCAUAGAGCGUGUUCACCCUCUUUGAGACUGUUUAAUAAUGUGCUUCAUCAAUUCUUUACUAACUCAACAACCAAGUAACCCUUAGUUCCCAAAGUCCUUUAUUUUCUUCUAACAUAUUGAGUUCAUCACAAAGGCCCAUAAAAAUUUGUCUUGAUCCCCACAAUCCAAAAACCAUUAUGAGGAGGAGGUUAUGGAUCAUGUACGGGUUUCAGAAAUCAAGAGGAGCGAUUUGCAUAAUUGAUUAAAAAGUUGUGCUCUUAAUUUUUGUUUCUUGAUAGGUUUCAAGCGGGAUUCAAAUGCUAUUUGAUAAUUAGGGAAGGGUGGUUUGAUUUUAUGAGUUGUGCUAUUUCCUUCACAUAUCUAUGCCUGUGUGUGGAUGCAUAUUUUUUGAAAAUUAAUGCGAAGUUUUCUAGCUUCUACAUCCUCUGAUUCACACAUCCCUAUUGUCGUAUUCAUUUAUUGGAGGCAGCUUUUAGGCUUCAAGUUAAUCCAGGAAUAAUUUCCCUUCAGGAAUUUUCCUCAUACUAGGUAAGUGCCCGUGCAUUGCUAUGGGAAACAACACAAUUAUGUUGAUACAACAUCAAGAAGUACUUAGAGAACGCAAUUCAUGUGAUUCUUUUGGGGGCGAUUGAUGUUAAAACACCAUCAAGACAUGCAAAUACUUAAGACACGUCUGGUUCGGCAAGUUUUGACCGUCUCCCAAUUACAUCGCUUAGCGAAGACGUUAACAGUGUUUGGUACGGCUAGGCCGGUUUCGAUCGCCUUGUAAUCUGAUACAGCACUUCAUAAAGCCCAAAGUGGGAUAUAUACCCUGUGGAAAUCGAAAACGCUCGACCCCCUUCUCUCUCUUUGACGGCCGGAUUUUUCCCUUCUCUGCCGUGAGCGGCAACGCCGGCCGGACCCCCUCCCCUCAUCCCCACCACGAGCAACGUCGCAAGCCGGACCUCCCCCCAUCCCUACCAUGAGCGGCAGUGUCAGCAGGGCCUCCCUCUUCUCUGCACGAGCAGCAACUCUGGCCGGACCUCCCCCUCCUCGGUCGCUAGCUGCCAUGCUGACCGCGGACCUCUGAUCAUCAGGUCAUGACCAGCCGCACCGGCCGGGCUUCCCCCUUCUUCUCCGUUAGCCAGCAUGUUGGCCGAGGAUCUCCCUUCUCCUUACUUCUUUUCUGGACGCUCUGGUUUGGGAAACCAAACCUUGAACCAAGCACAUCAGGUAAGCACCCAAUCCCCAGGGCAAUACACUGCAUUCGGAUUAAAAUCUGAAAACGUUACCUAUCCUGAAUCAAAUGUGUCUUUUCUUUAAAUCUUUUUAGCUAAGCAAAUGAAUGCUGGUCAGCAAAUGUAUGAAAAAAUGUCAUCUUAAACUCUUCACUAUAAUGCAUGGAAUGACCACGUCUUCCAAAGCCCGUAUAAAUAUGUGAUUCAUCCCGCAAAUGAAUAAAACUGCGAGGUCAUACUAUCCUUUUUACAAAUAAUAAUGCCAUAGCUUCUAAAUUGUAAAUAACCAGUGAUUGGAAAUGGGUAUUCACUUUUGGUUCAAUACAACUUUUUCUAGUCAAUUCACGUCUCACACUUUCAUCCAAGAGUAGAUAGUUCCGCCAGGUAGAAGGUAUCAGGCUACCAGCUAUAUAAAAGGGGACAAAGAUAACUAACAGUCGUAGGGGAACACUCACCAAACUCACCAGGACCAGAGCAACUUCUCCUCAGUGCUUGAAGAUGCAGUUGACAACCUCCUGUGUUUACGACGGUCUGCUCCAGCGUCACCGCCAGCCACCUCCUUGAGGCGUUCCUCCGCACGCCCUUGUCCCACAACUACUUCUAGGACUCCAUAUAAGAUACACCAUAUUUUCUUGACUCCUGAUGCAACAAACAAAAUUUCACCUCAAAAUAAGUAAGAUGCAUAUUCUCCUGAAAAUGAACUGACCAAAUGCAAGCUACGGGAAAACAAUACAAGCUUUAUAUCUUCUAAAAGAUUGGUGCAGAAAUAGCUAUUGUGUGCAACAAAGCAAAGUGCUUUCUGAACAAGUCAACAAAAGUGUAUUGAACUUAACUAUCUAUACACAACCAUAUAGGCAAUUAAGCGAAGAAGAAACAUUAGAGUGGAUUUCAAUAAGAAAUGCUGAUUGUUCACUUGCAUCAGCAACAUAAUGAUUUAAGUAUGUGGAGCAGGAAAAAACAACAUUUUCUCUAUACAGUUCCAAAGUACCUUUCAAAUCUGAGCUGAUGCAGCCGCACAAAAAUUUGAAAUCAGCUAUAUCACGCUCAUUUAGCUAGACAAUUGUACACCGGUCCAUCGGCUGACAUGUAGGACAACACCCCAAAUCAAUCCUGAUUGCCAUUGUGUAAUCUGCACAAAAGUAGUAGCAGUGAUAUGAUGAGAGCUCAUGAAACAGAAACCUGAUUGCCAUUAUAUUUUUGAGUGAAAAUAUAAUAUUUGCAAUCAUUGUAAAUACCACUCGAACAAAAUAUGCUAAGUUCUAAUGAAAAGUAAACAAAGAUAAAUGAACUGAAGAUUUUGGCAGAGGGUAUAUAUGAGCUAAACAGAAUGAAGAUGAUAUGCAUAGCCCACAGGGGAAAAUCAUCUUGAUUGUAGAAAAUACAGUGGAGCAACGUAUUCAGAAAAAUGAUACGUACCCCACGGAGGAAAAUACAGUGGAGCAACGUAUACCAGACACCAGUACUCCUCUCCUCCCGCUCCUCUUCUGCCUGGGUCCAAGCCGCAGCAAACAGACCAUGCCAAGGCGGCGGCAGCAGCAUCGGCGAGAUGGUGCACUGUGUGUUGUGGAGUCGGUAGGCGGAGGUGCAGCAAUGCAGUCCUCCUCCCAGUCCAGUCCCAGGCCAUGACGUCGGCGACAUCCUCAUCGCGUUGGGACGCAGAGUCAUGGGGUGCGUGGAAGACGGCCGCAAGGAGGGAGGCCGCAAGCGGGGCGUCAUCGUCGGUGGGAGAAGCCGCUGGCAACGGGGAGCCGGUGUGGAGACAGGGAGGCGACGUGCACGGCGGCCGGUGAUCCGAUCGUCGACGGCGGCACAGAGGGCAAUCCCUAUUUGACGCGCGUGAGCGUCAAAAUGACCUGGCUUCGCUGAGGCGACGCCCCAGUUUGGGCGAGCCCAUGUCGCUCUACUGUUUCUUUCUCUUUUCUCUUUCUGUUUCCUUUCUUUUUUCUGUUUCUGUUUCGAUUUCUUUUCUUUUCCGCUUUUCUGUUAUCUUUUUUUUGUUUAUCUUCUUUUCGUGUAUUAUACAAAGUUCAUUGCAUGUUUGUUUGCAAAAAUAUUCAACGUACAUUUUAGGGAAUGUUCACUCUAUAUUAAGAAAAUGGUCAGCAUAUUUAAAAAAAUGUUCAUUGUGUAUUUCAAAACGGUUUAGCUUAUAUCACAAAAUAAUUUAAUGUGUAUUUAAAUAUUUGUCCAGCGUGUAUCACAAAAAUGUUCAGUGUGUAUUUUAAAAAUUGUUCGUUCUAUAUAAGAAACUCAAUAAAUGUUUCGAAUUUCAAAAGUUUGUGCACUUUUUUCAAAAAUGUUCAUGUUUAAUUUUUUUUGAAUCCGAAUAUUUUCACAAUUUUUAAUCUCUUAUUCACAUUUUUAAGAAAAAAUUCACAAUUUUUUCUAAGCUAUGUCAACAAAACUGAAAUAAAACCAAACUGGUGUUGUGCUUAGUACUUUAGGAGUAGGGGUGCGCUUUAGCAAAAAUCUGUCGCUGCCUCUACUGGCUAGCAACACAGGUAUCUAUCGGGUAGUCAUGAGUUCGGCUCCCACCCGUGCUAUUUUCCUUUUUCAGCGCUGGGUGGGCUACUGGGCCAGCACGCCUAUAUAUCCUAUUCAUCGCAAAAAUUAACUGGGCGAAAAUAAACCGGCGGGACGCGGAACAGAGGGACGAAGAACAAGCGGAACUCGGUCUGUUGGCAAGAAAGGGAACCUUCCGUAUUUUUAAGUAGUACUAGGACAAUGCCCGUGCGUUGCAACGGGGGCAAUGCAUAUUUUAGGCUCAAAACUAACCGUGUAUAACAUAUACCUUAGAAUUCCCAUACAUAUUAGCCGGCGUUGUUAGCUUAUUACCUUCUUCUGCUUUCACCCAUUAUCUUUGUCUCUCUGAAAUGGAAAUCAAAGCUCGUAACCUCUAUCAAUGGCUCAUCCGGCUUGCAAUCCCCCUUCCACUCCCACCUACACACUUUAAAUUUCAAACACAUCCUAUGAACGUGGCGCUGAUUGAAAUAAGCAUUUAAAAACUGCAAUAAACCGAAUGCCUAAAAAUGGUCCAUAGCUGGUAGCAUGGCACACACCGUGCAACUACGAACCUCACCACCAAAAAUGUGUCGUGGUCGUGUACCAUACGAAAGAAAGCCGUAACAGUAGUUCAUACGUGCCACACCAUUGAGGCCGCACAUGGAUCCCCGACUAUCUUGCAUGUCGUCCGAGGAGCUAGUGUAGUUGUGGCCCGUGUCCUAGAGAGAGAAAUUAAGCAGAUGCAACCCCAGACUUCAUCAUCGAAUUGGUUUUGAGCUUCUCCACUAAUGAGAUCAUCAUGCUCAUAACUUCAUGUUGACACUCGGGAAGGUUUUGUUGGCAACAUUAUUAGUUGGCUUUCCUGAAUUCUUGGCAUGAUUUGUUUAUACAUUGCAAAAAGGAAAAACAGAAAUCCCCGAAUUUCCACAUGACCACUCAAGCAGCACUAAAAACUUAUCGUCCCAAGCUCUCAGAUUUUCUUGUAGUAAUAAAAAGUAUCAACAUGAGAUGAUGCAUUACAUGGAUGCUAAUGCCAUUCACGCUACAAAAAAGGAGGUUUGGAAGGUCGUAAGGGACAGUACCUUUCCAUGUUAGCAUGUCGUCGAGGUGAGCAUUGUAGUCGUGACCCGUCAAGCCGUGUGCCAUAUAGUUUCCUACAACAAGCACCUGGCGAGCACAGGCAACUCGGCCGGAACGCCGCCGCGCUCACUCCGCAGCAUCCGGCCUCCCCUGCUUCCGCAAGUCUGGCCACGCCACGCCUCGUUGUGCCGCCGCCAACACAUCUCUGUAGUUUUUUUUGUGCGGGUCUCUGUAGUAGUUGGACGAAGUAAACAUUUCGCUCUCAAACAUGGACUCAUCCUUUUGUUUCUCUUCUACUGUAUGAUUCCCUAACUUUAAAUCAAAUUGUGUGCUCUCAGUAUGUUUAUAAUCUGUCCACUAAUUUGUUUCCAGGCGACAAGCUGUUUGAGCUUCCAGUUACCACUCUAGAAAUCAAAGAGUAAGCGUCUUGGUGUUAUCAACACGUUCCAAGAGCAAGUAGAUGCAAAUAAUUCUGUUCACCAAGAGCAUCAGGUGUAGAUGAGAACCCAUAUAGCUUAAACCACAGGCUCAAUCGGGGCCCCACUAUGAAGAACCUACCACCCACUUAAUUUGUGGUUUACUAUGUAGCAUUUUUCUCUACGACAGACGCUUCCAGACCUAUCACUACCUACUCGGUCCCGGGUACACCCUUGGCUCAUGCGGUUAAAUCCAUUCUUCCCUCCGAGGUCCGAGCUCAUCAUCGUCGCAGUGGAGCUGCAUGCCUUGCCACUUGAAUAAGGAAGACUCCAUCCAUCUAACCCAUAUCCGUUCGAACCGGAAGCGAGUGGUAAAGUCACCCUUUGGCUAAAAAAAUGAUUUGUAUGCGUGACGCAACACACAACUCUGCAAAAGAAGAGAAAGCCAAAAGGAAGGUUUGUAACAACCUCCAUUGCUGCAAGAACAACCAACAGAGAAAAUACAGUAAGCAUUUUUUUGCGAGAAAAUGUCUGAUCUAUUAAUUUUCAAUCAUGAUAGUACAACAAACAUCGGAAAUAAUAAAAAUUACAUCCAAAUCCCUACACCACCAAGCGACGACUACAAGCACUGAAGUGAGCCAAAGACGAUCCACCGUCAUCGCCCCUCCCUCGCCGGAGCCGGGUAAACUUGUCGUAGUAGACAAUCGGGAAGUCGACGUGCUAAGGUAUCAUACGACCAGCACACCAGAACAACAACCGCCGCCAAUGAAGAGUAGCGUAGAACAAAAGGAUCCAAUGUGAAAACAUGCGAACAUAGACGAACGAAGACCAGGUCUGAGUAGAACCAUCAAAGAUAGAUCCACCGGAAACACACGUUCACACCAUGCAUCGAUGAUGCUAGAGGCGCCAUCUAGACGGGUGCUAGGCGGGGAGAACCUUAUUCCAUCUUCAGGGAGGCGCCGCCACAUUUUAACAUAGUUGCACAUGUAAACAAGCUGUAAAGUACAUGGACUAUACGACAAAAAAUGCAUAUGUGCCUGGUUUCCUUGCACUUGAAGUGACCUCGGACCCAAAUCGGAAUAAGAUAAGGAUGAAGCGGCGGCACGACACCCCCCAAAUCGACUCCUGUUGAAAAUCCUCAAGUCGGAAUGAGAGGACAGGGGGCGAGCUGCAUUUGACCAACUCAAGAAGUCAGUUAUGUUUCCCCUCGCCGGGACCUGAUCCUUACAGUCGAGGCCCACUGCGGGAAGAAGUGUUGAACUUCUCCCAGGCUUCCAUUUCCUGGGAGCUUAGAACUGUAGUGAUUCUGCUACGAUCAAAUAUAAGAAGCAUAGAUGCUGGUAUGAACUCUCGGUUUGAAAAAAUCAACUCUACCACAAAGACUGGGAGCUUAGAAACCGUAGUGAUUCUGCUACGAGCAAAUAUAAGAAGCAUAGAUGCUGGUAUGAACUCUUGGUUCAAAAAAAGCAACUCUACCACAAAGACAUUUUUUCGCGUAUUAAUAUGCAAAUAAUUACGUAUCGUUCCAUUGAUAGGUAAGAGAGNNNNNNNNNNNNNNNNNNNNNNNNNNNNNNNNNNNNNNNNNNNNNNNNNNNNNNNNNNNNNNNNNNNNNNNNNNNNNNNNNNNNNNNNNNNNNNNNNNNNNNNNNNNNNNNNNNNNNNNNNNNNNNNNNNNNNNNNNNNNNNNNNNNNNNNNNNNNNNNNNNNNNNNNNNNNNNNNNNNNNNNNNNNNNNNNNNNNNNNNNNNNNNNNNNNNNNNNNNNNNNNNNNNNNNNNNNNNNNNNNNNNNNNNNNNNNNNNNNNNNNNNNNNNNNNNNNNNNNNNNNNNNNNNNNNNNNNNNNNNNNNNNNNNNNNNNNNNNNNNNNNNNNNNNNNNNNNNNNNNNNNNNNNNNNNNNNNNNNNNNNNNNNNNNNNNNNNNNNNNNNNNNNNNNNNNNNNNNNNNNNNNNNNNNNNNNNNNNNNNNNNNNCUGUAGGAAAUUACUCUAGGGGUUGUGUUUCAUUGGCCAAAAAUACGUAUAUACUGCAGGAAAAUCGUAUGGGCUGGGCGGGCCACGGCCAAUUCGGCCUUGCUGUAGCUCCGCCACUGUAGGAUGGUGAUGUGUCAUGCACUCGAAUCAGCAUCCGUCACCAAUAACUGUCUAGCUGCUUCUGCUUGUCUUCCUUACAUCUUGGUAUGAACGAUCCAAACACUAUCAACUCUGACCAUUUAUGGCAAUAUUACGCUGUAAAUAAUUGUUAAUUCAAUAUACAGGCCAUGGCAGAAAUGGCAUCUAUUGAAAUGUUCCAAUGUUGGCAAGGCAAUGGUUAAAAGUUUCUAAGUGGAUUUUUUUGACUAUGUGGCCUCUAUUUUUUGUUUUGUUUCUCCCUCUCACCAGUCAUCACUCUGAUGAACAAGGUAUGCAUCAUGACAACUUUGAUCAAUGGUUAAUUUUCCAGAGGAAUUUUUCAAGCAAUGAUUUGAUCUUGUGGUAUUUUGUGUCGUAGGAUCAAUAUUCUAAAGGAAAAUGGGUAGGGUUAACCGAGACAAAUCCUCGGUUGUCACCCCGCAAUAAUUUGGCCGAUCAAAUAAUGGACACCAUCAUUAGUUGCAAGAAAAAUUGAUGCAAAAUCAGAAAUGCACAUUCUUGUGGCUGACAAGGAGGAGCUAAAUCAAGCAUGCAUGCAAAGCGGCAGAAUUCAGAUGCAAGUGUUGAGUGAUGGUUUAACUGAAUUAGGAUGUACUGAACUACUUAUGCUGCAAUCAGUAGUACUUGUCUGUAGCAGUGGGGAGAUUAAGCAGGUGCAGCUCACUCAGUACUGCUCAUCCUUGACAGCACCAGAGUCUACCACUGGCAUACAUAAAUACCAUCCAACAACUCCCUCGUAUAUAUAUGCUUGUCUUCAGAUGGCAUUUCUGUUCAAAGUAAAAAAGGGAGGAGAAAAUAACAGAUUAAAGAUCAGUCAGGAACUCAGGAUGGAUGUAAUUAGUUAUGAAUAAAUGGAUAGAGAAUUCGACAAGAUAAGUAUAGUUGUAUAACCACAAUCCAAUGUUACGAGGCACUGAAGAAGAAAAAUAAAAACUACAAUUUUUCUAUCAUCAAUAGACUAAAUUAUCAGAUACCCCGAAAGCAGAAUUUUUUUCGUGUACCUCCUUAGAUUGGAUUAUACAUACACAGAUACACUUGAAUUUUUAGUGGACAACUAAUCUUCAUUGUGCUACAUCUGAAUUGGGAAGCAUGCACCAACCCUAAGUGUUAAUACUACAAGCGCACAACAUACGACUACACAAUCCAAAGCUGAAUUAUGUGCGUGCAAUAGCAUGAUGCUUCAGCAUACCGAGAUGAAAAAUAGACUACAUACUACAACAACUUUCUAAAAAAGAGUAUUGACGAUUUCAUAAAGUGUAGCUUGAGUCGAGGUUCACAGUUCUAAGGUAGCUUACUCGUAAUGAAGGUUUUCUUUUUGAGGAAUGAGAUUUCAAUAAUAAAAUAUGGCUACUCAAGAAAUGGAGGUGGAGGACAUAAAAAUUCCAUUCUUCCAAGUCCUGAGUCCUAACCCCUGCAUCUUUAAUCUUUCACAUACAUAAAACCAAAUUGUAGCGCUUACAAAUCAUGUUACAGGUACCAAAAACAUCUCAAAUGCCCCAUAACAAGUAUUCCUAUCUCCUAAAAAUGGCCUUAACAAAAUCAAUCAUGUACCUACCACCAUUCAGUAGCUAAACAGUGUGGCGGGUUAAUGAACCAUUAACAAAAGUAAUGGACUGCAUGAGUUGCAAAGCAGAUUGUUUCCACAACUAACUUAUUGUGAUGAUGUAUUGAUCCAAGCUACAUAUUUGGUAUUCUCAGUUUUGAAACAUAUGUCCUCGCAACAAGAAAAGUUGAAAGCACAUUGUAAAAGAAGAAACAAAAAAUAGAGCGUGAUUAACACGAUGCACAGUCCAAGUCUUUGUGAAUUCAACUAAGGUGUAGGGGGCAAACCUUGCAGAGCCGUUCUUUAGCGCAGGGAAUACAGGUGGCCAAGGCAUCAUAAAAGGCUGGAUAUAACCCAAACUACUUCGAUCCUCAUUUGCCAACUCAUACACUCUACGUAGUGUCCUGUACUUGACAUCCAAGUAUAGUAUGGACCGACCCAUCUCCAAUAACACAAAUUCCACAUUGUCCCCCACCAUGCUUAUUUGUGGAAGAUCAUUGCAGUCUGACAUACCCAAACUAGCACGCAUGUCAUGCAAACAUAUGUUGUCCAAAAGCGACCAGGUGCCCCCCUUGUGGAGCCAGAUGCGAAGUUGAAGCUCCUUGAGAUGGAGGAGGUACACACUGUUGGAAUCAUUGGCCCUUGACAACCUGGUGCUUCCCGAAUCUAAAAAAACAAUGAAAUCCAUUCACACAAGCUGGACCAUUGCCUUCGGCAACGCCCUAAUUCCUUUCCUAUCUUUCUUCUUUUUCACUCGAGGCCGUCAAAUCCAAGACAGUAAUAUCGGUCUGACCAGCUGCCAUAUAGAUUUUAUCUUGGACCAUCACAACUUCUUGUUGUGAUGGUGGGCGAGGGAUCUGGUCUAUGGCCAAAUUAUGUACCAACCAGGCACCGUCUUGCAACAUAUACACGUGCACAGUAAAUGUUUCCUCCAUGGUAGAAUGCAUAAAGAAAUACCAGUAAGACAUCAAACGACCUUCUUCUUCUUCUUUGGAAAGGAGUGCCCUGUAAGUAUAGAAAGCACCUUCCGGGAGAUUGGGGAGUGGGUUUGGUGGGAACAUGGUCGUGCACAUCGUCGCAGGAGGACACAGCAUGUUGUACACUCCCAAUCUAUCAUGUUCGCUGAGGAGGAUGCGGCCGUUCCGGCAGCCAAAGAUGUAGGACGGCACCCGCAGUACCCUCCGGUAGGCGUCGAAGUUGGACUUUACUUGGCGUACGACGGCGGCAAGCUCUUGAGGCUGAGGCAGCAUCGGCACGAAGCGUGUGGUCUGCACUGAACAGUCAUAGCCCAAGACGUAGAAGCCGAGGAGGCGGGAAGGGUGGCGGUCGCGGAAACGGCGGAGGAACCUGCGAUCGGAUGCGUGGAGGUACCAGCGCGUGCAGACCGUGGCGGUGCGGACGAGGGUGGUAGGGAAGCCAACGCGGACGAGGAUCUCGAUGAGGAGGUCGUCGUCGCCGAGCACCCUCGAUGCGGCGUCCUCCAUGGUCGCCGGCGGCGGCCGCGACUCGCCGUCCAUUGUGGAGCUAGUUGGGGUUUCCGUGCGUCUGAGACUUGCGCGGGGGGCACGAAGAGAAAACUGCCGCCCCGUCUUCUGGGCCUGGUCCGGCCGUCAAAGGCCGAGCUAAUAAGAAGGGCCCAGUACCUCUCCGUUCAUAAACAUAUACAGUAUUAGGUUUGUCUAAAAACUUUCAUGUUCCGAUGCAUUCACUGUUAUCUAGUAACUAGUUGCAUCUAUCAGGAUUAUCAGACAAAAUCACAUUACAUCAGACUAACAGAUCCGUUAAAGUUCUCUGCACUGAAGAAACUGUUCGUGACUGAAAGCUUUUCCAAAACUGAGAAGGGUGACUAUCCCCUCCCCUCGCGUCGCCCCUGCUCGGGCGACUCGGGGGCCCCAAACCCUAGCUCCGCCGCUUCCCCUUUCUUCUCCCCUCCUCCUCGCCGCCGCCUGAGGCCGCCGCCGGGCAAGCCCGGGGUGUCGCCGAGGAAGGUGGCGGCGGGGCCCUGGCGCCCCUGCCUCUGCUGCGGGGGGCCGUGUUCCCUAGGGCGGCGGCCCUGGUCGGAGAGGCGUCACCGGCCCGGCGGCAGGCGGUGGCGCGGGCGUGGGCCGGCGUUCCUGGCCUUGUGGAUGGCGGGUGCCCCGGUGGACGGGAGCCCUGGUGGCUCGCGGUGGCGCCAGAUCUGGCCGCCCCUGCCCCCCUGUUUCGAGUGCUCCGCCCCGGCCAGAUCUGCCCGGCUCCUUUGCGGGCCGCCGGAUCUUGCGUCGUGGGGGUGGUGGAGGCGAGGAUUCGCAGACCGGGAGAAAUUCCAGGCCGGCCUCGUCGGUCUUGGCGGCGGCGACGCUCGUGGCGCCGUUCCCCUCCCUGGAGGCGCCGUUCAGGUCAGAUCCGUCGCCCCCAUCCCUCUAGUCUCCUGGGUGAAAACCUCAACUCUGUUGGGCGGCGGCGGCGCCCUCGGCGUCGCGUCCUUCCUGAAGGCGCCGUUUUUGGGAGCUAGGUGGGCAGUGGGCUCCUCGGCGAAGUGGUGGGUGUGCAGCGGCGGCAGUAGCUGGUCUUCUUUGUCGGCGGCGAGUUCGUCAGCGGCUCAACGCCUACAGGGACACUGUGCUACUGCUCCUCCGUCCGUCCCGGCAGUUCUUCCUCAUCCGUGUCCAGUCCGUGGGUGUUGGGUGGUGCUCUGCUCCUUGAGAUCAUUGCGUGGCUAGUCGGGUGAGCUAGGUUCCUUUCCAAAUGCAGCCUGCCGGUGUCUUUCCUCCCAGGUUCUAGGGUGAACUGCUACACUGUCAACGGUUCGGCGCCUUCGAGCCAGGCGAGGAGACAGGGGUCUUCUUUGACAGUGGAGCUGGGAGGACAUGGCAAUCCGGGGCCGCUGGUGAUUUGGCGACGGCGUGCCCUUCCUCGCCGUUCGUAAUGCUGCUCCUGUGCUGACAUUCUCCUUCUCCCUGGUGAUUUGUAUGCGAUUGAGGACCUACAUAUCCCCGUGCUGCGUGCUUCCUUGUUCGAUCCUUUAGCUGGGUGUGUGUGAGGCUUGUGUGCUGUUGUCCAGCGCCUCUGUAUCUUGUCGCUUUUUCGCUUUCUUGUGUUGGUUUCGAGUUUGUAAUCCUGGCCGGUUGAUGGCUUUGUUAAUUCAAAGCCGGGCUCUUCUGAAGCCUUCGUUCUAAUAAAAAAAAACUGUUCGUGCAAAUUUCCAUUCAGCUUCAGACUCCGGCAACCUUUAGUAAAAAGUUCAUUUACAGAUUACAGUGAUGUCUUGACCAAGAGCAAUAUAGUACAACUUAGCAAGUAUAAUACUAAAAGCUACAUCCCCACCAAGGUUCUUUCCGCAAACCUAGUCCUUUUAUCACCUUCUGCAAGUCUAGUACAGAAUUUUGCAAACAAAAUUUAAACCUGAAAAGUCCAUUACAGAAAUGUGGCUGCCCUGUUUGUCACAACAUUACCUGUUCAUCUCUCCCUACCUUAUACAAGUAAAUACCUGAGCAAACUCAUCAUGUUUCACGACUGCGCCUCCCAAAACAGUUUUCCCUCACUUUUAUGAAAAUUUAUAUUCAAGGUAGUCAUAUGCUGACACAUAUACAAUAAAAACUCUCUCACUCCCUCUAGAUCUUCUUCAUACAAGAAAAUCAUAUCAUUGGCAUACUUUAACAUAAUUAGUGCCCCAUCAACUACUCCCUCAAUUCCUUUAUGUAAGGUGUAUUAUUUUCAGCACGGUGACCAAGGCACAUAAUUAUUGAUAAUUUAGGCCGAAAUUACCCUUGUCUAAUUCGUGGAUUAGCGGCAAGUAAAUCAUUUAGGCUAGGAAAAGGAAGAGAUACACGUAAUCGGGAGAGAGAUAGUUUUUUUUUCUUUAAAAGAAGAGAUACAUGCAAUCAGGGGAGAGAUACUUAUAUUUUUACUGCAGGACCAAGAUCGGAAUUAUGAGAAAUUAGAACAAAUGCACCUUACAUUAUGGAUUUUUAUCAAAAAAUAAAUACACCUUAUAUAAAGGAACAGAGCGAGUAUAUUUGUAACCAUGCCGUUAAUAGGUCCUCAUGCAUGAGCUCUUCCCACUACAACAUUAAGUAUCGAUUUCUCACCAUAUUGAUUUGGUAAACCAAAGGUGUACGCUGGGACCUACAGUCUUUUUUCCAGCCCAUCAUCACACUCUCGAUGGGGAAGAUGAUCUUCUAUGUAUGUAUGGUGCUGGUGUGGAAUAAUUAUUCUUCUAUGAGGAAAUGAAUAUGUUCAUUCAUCAGCAGAGAAAAGCAUCGACCAAAUCAGGAGCGUGUGUUCUGGACCGUGACGACAAGCAGCUAAUAAGCAAGCGGGCAAUGCAGCAAAGUUCAGAUAUAGUGUUGCGCGAGUGUUUAGCUGAAUCCCGGCGCGAUGAACUACUGGUGCUGCGGUCAGGAGCAGAGUGGAGUGGAGCCUGACAUGCAUGGCCAAGGGUCCAGGCAGCAGUCCCCGCCACCUGAGCCUCACGAGCCCACGGCAGGCCCGGGUGAGACCAGAUCGGGCUUGUCCCGCCCGCAUCCGCAGCCGUGUGCCCACCGGAGGGAGGCAGAGGCGGCACGGCUUCGAGCUCCAGUGCCCAACCUCGGCCAACCACCACCGCCACCGACCUCAGCUGAAGCCAUCCUCAAAUCCACCCGCCCGCCGUCGAGGGAGGUCAUUCCUCCAAGAUCCGCCAUGCAGCCAGAGAAAACGCCCCGCCGCCGCCAUCCCUGGAGCCGGCCGAGCUUCGCCGGCGAGCCCCUUAGGCGGCGGCAAGGGAAGGGAAGGAGGAAGCGGGCGGCGAGAGUUUCUCCUCCCGAAUCGACAACGCGGGGUGGGUUCGUCUCUCCUUUCUAAUAGCUGCCCCAGGACCAUGUGUUUCUCAACAUCUUUAGACUUAAUUGUAUGGAACGCCAUGUUUCAUGGAAGAAGCAGGCAUUGAGAAUUUUGCAGGUGCUUGACAGCCACCGAGAGCAGUUGCGGCUUGAAUGCUGAGUAGCCCCGUGAAGUAAAAUCAACCCUUGUUCAUACAUGGGCUUUUCUGGUACGAAAUGGCAGUAGAUUGGUGGGCUCCAUUGUUGAGCAGGUUUACUCAAUCAGGUUUGCAGCCAUCUACCUAAAGUGGCAGCAUGCAGAUGAAUUGGGGGAGACAGCAAUUUGGGGCAAACAACAGAGUUGAUGUUGUCAUCUUUUCUCUCCCUCUCCAGUCUUCCCCCAUUUCUUUCUUUCCCGAUACAACAGAGUAGACAGCAAGCAUAAAUCAUGGUACAAGACUAGGGCUAUCAGAGGUAAUAACCAGGUGAAGAAAAUCAUGCAAAAGAUAUAUCAUGAUAAUCAAGCAUAAUAAUAAUAGGUCUUAAACUCCAGAAAGGAUCGAAACUUUCCAGGUGCUCAUAACUUUCCAAGUUGUCACAUGUCAUCCAUCACAACUAAGGAGAAACUUUGGUUUGCAUUUAUUCUCAACUCAUCUACGAUGGAGCUCCAGUUUAUUGGUAGUGGAGAUAGCUAGUG
rnacentral:lncRNA from 1 species